GUAGGUAGCAGAACGUGCUGAUAAUAAUAUAUUAAGUAUCAGUAUUGAGUAUGUACACAUGAGUAACAAAGAU
rnacentral:rRNA from 1 species